UUCUCUUUUUUCUUAUUUAUCAUGGUUUGUAAUGAAUUUUCUGAUGUGAGCUUUGGUUUUGAGGCUGGCAUAUUGAGUUCAGGGCACAAGAGGAUGGUUCUUUUUCAAUCAGGGCACAGCUGUUGGCUUGCUCCACUUCUGGCUUGCUGUCAUUGUUUUGAGUGCCUCAGCCGAUUUGUGGUUUCUUGUGUGGCAAUUUCCCAAAUGUUUUCAGGGUCUGAGUUGGCUUUGCCUUCUUCCUUCCCAAAUUUUGUAUUCUGAUGCAAUGUAAAGAAGAGUUUGUACAGAAUAGCCAUUAUGAAAGAAAAAACACAACAAAUAGGCGUUUGAAGCUUAGAAAUCUACAGGUAACAUGACCAAGGUGAGUUUUUGUGUUUAUGAAAAUAAAAUGGAACACUUUGGCUGAGGUGACAGAUAUUAAUUGCCUCCAAACUGAGUUUCACUGUGAUUUUCAGGUUAAUUCAGUCAGAAUUCCACAGGCAGUCAGCUGGAGGGGUGGAUGAAUCCGGGAACAGCCGGUUUCCUAGCGACUAAAUCAAGCCCUAUAUCAUUAUGGAUUCUUGCAUUUUUUGGCUUUUUUCUCUUUUUUCUUAUUUAUCAUGGUUUGUAAUGAAUUUUCUGAUGUGAGCUUUGGUUUUGAGGCUGGCAUAUUGAGUUCAGGGCACAAGAGGAAGGUUCUUUUUCAAUCAGGGCACAGCUGUUGGCUUGCUCCACUUCUGGCUUGCUGUCAUUGUUUUGGGUGCCUCAGCUGAUUUGUGGUUUCUUGUGUGGCAAUUUCCUAAAUGUUUUCUGGGUCUGAGUUGGUUUUGCCUUCUUCCUUCCCAAAUUUUGUAUUCUGAUGCAAUACAAGCAAGAUUUUGGACAGAGUAGCCAUUAUGAAAGAAAAAAAAAAAACACAGCAAAUUGACCUUUCAGGAUUAGAAAUCCAUAGGCAACACAACCAAGAUGAGAUUCUGUGUUUUGGAAAAUGACAUGGAACGCUUCUGCUGAGGUGACAGAUUCUAAUUCCCUCCAAAUGGAGUGUGAGAGCGAUCUUGAGGUGAAUUCAAUCAGAAUUCCAAAGUCAGUCUGUGGAAGGGGGGGAUGAAUCUGGAAACAGCCAGUUUCUUUGUGUCUAAAUCCUGCCAAAUAUCACAAAGGACUCUUGCAUUUCUUUGGCUUUUUCACAUUUCCCUUAUUUAUCAUGGUUUGUAAUGAAUUUUCUGAUGUGAGCUUUGGUUUUGAGGCUGGCAUAUUGAGUUCAGGGCACAAGAGGAAGGUUCUUUUUCAAUCAGGGCACAGCUGUUGGCUUGCUCCACUUCUGGCUUGCUGUCAUUGUUUUGGGUGCCUCAGCUGAUUUGUGGUUUCUUGUGUGGCAAUUUCCUAAAUGUUUUCUGGGUCUGAGUUGGUUUUGCCUUCUUCCUUCCCAAAUUUUGUAUUCUGAUGCAAUACAAGCAAGAUUUUGGACAGAGUAGCCAUUAUGAAAGAAAAAAAAAAAAAACACAGCAAAUUGACCUUUCAGGAUUAGAAAUCCAUAGGCAACACAACCAAGGUGAGAUUCUGUGUUUUGGAAAAUGACAUGGAACGCUUCUGCUGAGGGGACAGAUUCUAAUUCCCUCCAAAUGGAGUGUGAGAGCGAUCUUGAGGUGAAUUCAAUCAGAAUUCCAAAGUCAGUCUGUGGAAGGGGGGGAUGAAUCUGGAAACAGCCAGUUUCUUUGUGUCUAAAUCCUGCCAAAUAUCACAAAGGACUCUUGCAUUUCUUUGGCUUUUUCACAUUUCCCUUAUUUAUCAUGGUUUGUAAUGAAUUUUCUGAUGUGAGCUUUGGUUUUGAGGCUGGCAUAUUGAGUUCAGGGCACAAGAGGAAGGUUCUUUUUCAAUCAGGGCACAGCUGUUGGCUUGCUCCACUUCUGGCUUGCUGUCAUUGUUUUGGGUGCCUCAGCUGAUUUGUGGUUUCUUGUGUGGCAAUUUCCUAAAUGUUUUCUGGGUCUGAGUUGGUUUUGCCUUCUUCCUUCCCAAAUUUUGUAUUCUGAUGCAAUACAAGCAAGAUUUUGGACAGAGUAGCCAUUAUGAAAGAAAAAAAAAAACACAGCAAAUUGACCAUUCAGGAUUAGAAAUCCAUAGGCAACACAACCAAGAUGAGAUUCUGUGUUUUGGAAAAUGACAUGGAACGCUUCUGCUGAGGUGACAGAUUCUAAUUCCCUCCAAAUGGAGUGUGAGAGCGAUCUUGAGGUGAAUUCAAUCAGAAUUCCAAAGUCAGUCUGUGGAAGGGGGGGAUGAAUCUGGAAACAGCCAGUUUCUUUGUGUCUAAAUCCUGCCAAAUAUCACAAAGGACUCUUGCAUUUCUUUGGCUUUUUCACAUUUCCCUUAUUUAUCAUGGUUUGUAAUGAAUUUUCUGAUGUGAGCUUUGGUUUUGAGGCUGGCAUAUUGAGUUCAGGGCACAAGAGGAAGGUUCUUUUUCAAUCAGGGCACAGCUGUUGGCUUGCUCCACUUCUGGCUUGCUGUCAUUGUUUUGGGUGCCUCAGCCGAUUUGUGGUUUCUUGAGUGCCAAUUUCCUAAAUGUUUUCUGGGUCUGAGUCGGUUUUGCCUUCUUAUUCCCAAAUUUUGUAUUCUGAUGCAAUACAAGCAAGAUUUUGGAGAGUAGCCAUUAUGAAAGAAAAAAAAAAAACACAGCGCAUUGCCCUUUCAGGAUUAGAAAUCUACAGGCAACACGACCAAGAUGAGUUUCUGUGUUUUGGAAAAUGACAUAGAACGCUUCUGCUGAGGGGACAGAUUCUAAUUCCCUCCAAAUGGAGUGUGAGAGCGAUUUUGAGGUGAAUUCAAUCAGAAUUCCAAAGUCAGUCUGUGGAAGGGGGGGAUGAAUCUGGAAACAGCCAGUUUCUUUGUGUCUAAAUCCAGCCAAAUAUCACAAAGGACUCUUGCAUUUCUUUGGCUUUUUCACAUUUCCCUUAUUUAUCAUGGUUUGUAAUGAAUUUUCUGAUGUGAGCUUUGGUUUUGAGGCUGCAAUAUAGAGUUCAGGGCACCUGAGGAAUGGUCUUUUUCAAACAGGGCACAGCUGUUGGUGUGCUCCAAUUCUGGCUAUUGUCUUUGUUUUGGGUGCCUCAGCUGAAAUUUGGUUUCUUGAGUUUCACUGCGAUUGUCAGGUUAAUUCAGUCAGAAUUCCACAGGCAGUCAGCUUUAGUGGUGGAUGAAUCUGGGAACAGCCGGUUUCCUUGCAACUAAAUCAAACCCAAUAUCAUUAUGGAUUCUUGCAUUUUUUUGGCUUUUUUCUCUUUUUUCUUAUUUAUCAUGGUUUGUAAUGAAUUUUCUGAUGUGAGCUUUGGUUUUGAGGCUGGCAUAUUGAGUUCAGGGCACAAGAGGAAGGUUGUUUUUCAAUCAGGGCACAGCUGUUGGCUUGCUCCACUUCUGGCUUGCUGUCAUUGUUUUGAGUGCCUCAGCCGAUUUGUGGUUUCUUGUGUGGCAAUUUCCCAAAUGUUUUCAGGGUCUGAGUUGGCUUUGCCUUCUUCCUUCCCAAAUUUUGUAUUCUGAUGCAAUGCAAAGAAGAGUUUGUACAGAAUAGCCAUUAUGAAAGAAAAAACACAACAAAUAGGCGUUUGAAGCUUAGAAAUCUACAGGUAACAUGACCAAGGUGAGUUUUUGUGUUUAUGAAAAUAAAAUGGAACACUUUGGCUGAGGUGACAGAUAUUAAUUGCCUCCAAACUGAGUUUCACUGUGAUUUUCAGGUUAAUUCAGUCAGAAUUCCACAGGCAGUCAGCUGGAGGGGUAGAUGAAUCCAGGAACAGCCGGUUUCCUAGCGACUAAAUCAAGCCCUAUAUCAUUAUGGAUUCUUGCAUUUCUUUGGCUUUUUUCUCUUUUUUCUUAUUUAUCUUGGCUUGUAAUGAAUUUUCUGAUGUGAGCUUUGGUUUUGAGGCUGGCAUAUUGAGUUCAGGGCACAAGAGGAAGGUUCUUUUUCAAUCAGGGCACAGCUGUUGGCUUGCUCCACUUCUGGCAUCCUGACAUUUUUUUGGGUGCCUCAGCUGAUUUGUGAUUUCUUGAGCGGCAAUUUCCUAAAUGUUUUCUGGGUCUGAGUUGGUUUUGCCUUCUUCCUUCCCAAAUUUUGUAUUCUGACACAAUACAAACAAGAGUUUGGCCAGUGCAGCCAUUAUGAAAUAAAAAACACUACACAUAGGUGUUUGAAGCUUAGAAAUCUACAGAUAACACGACCAAGGUGAGUUUUUGUGUUAUGGAAAAUAAAAUGGAACACUUUGGCUGAAGUGACAGAUAUUAAUUGCCUCCAAACUGAGUUUCACUGCGAUUUUCAGGUGAAUUCAGUCAGAAUUCCACAGGCAGUCAGCUGGAGGGGUGGAUGAAUCCGGGCACAGCCCGUUUCCUUGCGACUAAAUCCAGCUCAAUAUCAUUAUGGAUUCUUGCAUUUCUUGGCUUUUUUCUCAUUUUUCUUAUGUAUCGUGGUUUGUAAUGAAUUUCCUGAUGUCAGCUUUGGUUUUGAGGCUGGAAUAUGGAGUUCAGGGUCCCGGAAGAAUGGCCUUUUUCAAUCAGGACUCAGCUGAUUGCCUCCUCCAAUUCUGGCUUGCUGUCAUGGUUUUGGGUGCCUCAGCUGACUUUUGGUUUCUUGAGUGGCAAUUUCCUAAAUGUUUUCUGUGUCUGAGUUGGCUUUGCCUUCUACCUUCCCAAAUUUUGUAUGUGAUGCAAUACAAGGAAGAUUUUGGACAGAGUAGCCAUUAUAAAAUAAAAAACACAACAAAUAGGCGUUUGAAGCUUGGAAAUCUAUAGGUAACAUGACCAAAGUGAGUUUUUUUGUUUUGGAAAAUAAAAUGGAACACUUUGGCUGAGGUGACAGAUAUUAAUUGUCUCCAAACCGAA